AACGUAGGUGGCGAGCGUUAUCCGGAUUUACUGGGCGUAAAGCAUAUGCAGACGGGUUGGUAAGUGGUGUAUGAAAGCGUCCGGCUUAACCGGGCAAGGGUAUGCCAGACUGCCAGUCUUGAGAAUGGGAGAGGGAUGUGGAAUUCCGGGUGUAGUGGUGAAAUGCGUAGAGAUCCGGAGGAACCCCAGAGGCGAAGGCGGCGUCCUGGCCCAUUUCUGACGUUCAGACAUGACAGCAUGGGGAGCGAACGGG
rnacentral:rRNA from 1 species